CUGAAGACCAAACACACCCAGGCAAAUCAGGAAUCAAGGACCACACUGAACAGGAGUCAAAUAUGUCUAAUAACAUGCAUGAGAGUUUUUAGAAUAAGUACAGCAUGUCAACGAGAGAGUGGGUACAUUCAAGUCAAGCAGCUUGUACCAUCACAUCCACAGUCAAAAGCAAUGGGAGAAGACACACAUCCUGGCUUGCCUGCUAGCUUUCUCCUGCCUUCUUCAGUUCAGGACCCCCUGCCUAGGGAAUGGUGCUGCCCACAAUAAGCUAGGUCUUCCUCUA